rnacentral:rRNA from 1 species
UACGAAGGGUGCAAGCGUUACUCGGAAUUACUGGGCGUAAAGCGUGCGUAGGCGGUUUGUUAAGUCCGCUGUGAAAGCCCUGGGCUCAACCUGGGAAUUGCAGUGGAUACUGGCAAGCUAGAGUGCGGUAGAGGAUGGUGGAAUUCCUGGUGUAGCGGUGGAAUGCGCAGAUAUCAGGAGGAACACCAAUAGCGAAGGCAGCUCGCUGGGACGGUACUGACGCUAAGGCGCGAAAGCGUGGGGAGCGAACAGG